rnacentral:rRNA from 1 species
UACAGAGGGGGCAAGCGUUGUUCGGAAUUACUGGGCGUAAAGGGCGCGUAGGCGGCCUCUUAAGUCGAACGUGAAAUCCCCGGGCUCAACCCGGGAACUGCGUCCGAUACUGGGGGGCUUGAAUCCGGGAGAGGGAUGUGGAAUUCCAGGUGUAGCGGUGAAAUUCGUAGAUAUCUGGAGGAACACCGGUGGCGAAGGCGGCAUCCUGGACCGGUAUUGACGCUGAGGCGCGAAAGCCAGGGGAGCAAACGGG